rnacentral:rRNA from 1 species
CCUACGGGUGGCAGCAGUGAGGAAUAUUGGUCAAUGGACGAGAGUCUGAACCAGCCAAGUAGCGUGAAGGAUGACUGCCCUAUGGGUUGUAAACUUCUUUUAUAUGGGAAUAAAACAGGGUAUGCAUACCCUCAUGUACGUACCAUAUGAAUAAGGAUCGGCUAACUCCGUGCCAGCAGCCGCGGUAAUACGGAGGAUCCGAGCGUUAUCCGGAUUUAUUGGGUUUAAAGGGAGCGUAGGUGGAAUGUUAAGUCAGUUGUGAAAGUUCGGGGCUCAACCGUCGAAUUGCAGUUGAAACUGGCCGUCUUGAGUACAGUAGAGGUAGGCGGAAUUCGUGGUGUAGCGGUGAAAUGCUUAGAUAUCACGAAGAACUCCGGUUGCGAAGGCAGCUCACUGGACAGCAACUGACGCUGAGGCUCGAAAGUGUGGGUAGCAAACAGGAUUAGAUACCCUUGUAGUC